UGCUUACGUGCGGAGGGAUCAUUACUGAGUUACCGCUCUAUAACCCUUUGUGAACGUACCUAACCGUUGCUUCGGCGGGCAGGGGAAGCCUCUCGCGGCCUCCCCUCCCGGCGCCGGCCCCCACCACGGGGACGGGGCGCCCGCCGGAGGAAACCAAACUCUAUUUACACGACGUCUCUUCUGAGUGGCACAAGCAAAUAAUUAAAACUUUUAACAACGGAUCUCUUGGUUCUGGCAUCGAUGAAGAACGCAGCGAAAUGCGAUAAGUAAUGUGAAUUGCAGAAUUCAGUGAAUCAUCGAAUCUUUGAACGCACAUUGCGCUCGCCAGCAUUCUGGCGAGCAUGCCUGUUCGAGCGUCAUUUCAACCCUCAAGCACCGCUUGGUUUUGGGGCCCCACGGCCGACGUGGGCCCUUAAAGGUAGUGGCGGACCCUCCCGGAGCCUCCUUUGCGUAGUAACUAACGUCUCGCACUGGGAUCCGGAGGGACUCUUGCCGUUACACCCCCACAUUCUUUACAGGUUGACCUCGCGAUCAGGUACGAACGAGCUGAACUUAAGCAUAUCGAUAGG
rnacentral:rRNA from 1 species